CAAAGUUAGAAUUUUAUUAUAACCUAAAAAGUGGACGGAACUAACAAAGUUAAUGACUAAAAAGUGUAAGUUAAUAUAAAAUCUUAUACUAAGUUAACAACAUAUAAAGCUAAGUAUUCAUGCAUAACAAUUUCAUAAAUAUAACAAGUUGCAGGUUGGCUAGGCCAUGAAUUUAUCCCUGAACAUUGCAUUAUUUUUAUUAUUAUUCAACAGUAAUAUGAAAAAGAAAGACUUGUUAACUUGUUAAAAUAAAUUAAAUGCAAAAAUUUACAGAAAUUAUAAUUGCAAAGGAAUGAAGCUGUCAUUUUUAAAAUAAAACUCUGAACACAAUCAAUGUUAACAAUGUCAAAUCAAACCAUACCAAAUCUGACAUCGGGCUCGAACUUCUCUUGAACUGAAUUUUAAUGUGCGUAUUGUUAUGCGUUUACUUUUCUACAUUGGCUAGAGGUAUAGAGGGAGGGUUGAGAUCUCAUAAACAUGUUUAACCCCGCCGCAAUUUUGCGCCUGUCCCAAUUCAGGUGCCUAUGGCCUUUGCUAGUCUUGUAUGAUUUUUAAUUUUAGUUUCUUGUGUAUAAUUUCGGAGUUUAGUAUGACGUCCAUUAUCCCUGUACUAGUAUUGUUCUUUGGGGUAAACAAACUGACCAGGUGGUGACCAUUUACUCCCCUUUUAUUUUUGUAUACAAAGAGUUAACAAGUGUAAAAAAUAUAAAUAAAAUUUAAAAAAAUAUAUUAAAAUAUCUAUAUUAUAAACAUUUGUAAAAUAUAUCAAAAUAUAUAUUUACAUAAUAUCUUUUUAAACAAAAAACAUUGUCUAAUAUCAAAUCUGAAUUUACAACCAACUACAUUAUUGACAUAGUACAUGUAGUAAACAAAUUGUUUUGCUUAAUUAACUGAGAUCUUCUGCACACUUUCCCUAAAAAAAAAUAGGUUUUUUUUUAAAGUAAAAAAAAGAUGUACUCAUAUUUUGAACUAAAAUUGC
rnacentral:lncRNA from 1 species